AGAGUUUGAUCUGGCUCAGACGACGCUGCGCGUGCUUACACAUGCAAGUCGAACGAUGACCACUCGGUGGGGAUUAGUGGCGAACGGGUGAGUAACACGUGGGCAAUCUGCCCUUCACUCUGGGACAAGCCCUGGAAACGGGGUCUAAUACCGGAUACAACACUCUCGGGCAUCCGAUGAGUGUGGAAAGCUCCGGCGGUGAAGGAUGAGCCCGCGGCCUAUCAGCUUGUUGGUGAGGUAACGGCUCACCAAGGCGACGACGGGUAGCCGGCCUGAGAGGGCGACCGGCCACACUGGGACUGAGACACGGCCCAGACUCCUACGGGAGGCAGCAGUGGGGAAUAUUGCACAAUGGGCGAAAGCCUGAUGCAGCGACGCCGCGUGAGGGAUGACGGCCUUCGGGUUGUAAACCUCUUUCAGCAGGGAAGAAGCGAAAGUGACGGUACCUGCAGAAGAAGCGCCGGCUAACUACGUGCCAGCAGCCGCGGUAAUACGUAGGGCGCGAGCGUUGUCCGGAAUUAUUGGGCGUAAAGAGCUCGUAGGCGGUCUGUCGCGUCGGAUGUGAAAGCCCGGGGCUUAACCCCGGGUCUGCAUUCGAUACGGGCAGACUAGAGUGUGGUAGGGGAGAUCGGAAUUCCUGGUGUAGCGGUGAAAUGCGCAGAUAUCAGGAGGAACACCGGUGGCGAAGGCGGAUCUCUGGGCCAUUACUGACGCUGAGGAGCGAAAGCGUGGGGAGCGAACAGGAUUAGAUACCCUGGUAGUCCACGCCGUAAACGGUGGGAACUAGGUGUUGGCGACAUUCCACGUCGUCGGUGCCGCAGCUAACGCAUUAAGUUCCCCGCCUGGGGAGUACGGCCGCAAGGCUAAAACUCAAAGGAAUUGACGG
rnacentral:rRNA from 1 species